CUUCGACAGAAUUCUUCGGAAGGAAGUUGAUUAAGUUUAGUGGCGGACGGGUGAGUAACGCGUGAGUAACCUGCCUUUGAGAGGGGAAUAACUUCCCGAAAGGGAUGCUAAUACCGCAUGAUGCAUAGAAGUCGCAUGGCUUUUAUGCCAAAGAUUUAUCGCUCAAAGAUGGACUCGCGUCCGAUUAGCCAGUUGGCGGGGUAACGGCCCACCAAAGCGACGAUCGGUAGCCGGACUGAGAGGUUGAACGGCCACAUUGGGACUGAGACACGGCCCAGACUCCUACGGGAGGCAGCAGUGGGGGAUAUUGCGCAAUGGGGGAAACCCUGACGCAGCAACGCCGCGUGAAGGAUGAAGGUUUUCGGAUUGUAAACUUCUUUUAUUUAGGACGAAGAAUGACGGUACUAAAUGAAUAAGCUCCGGCUAACUACGUGCCAGCAGCCGCGGUAAUACGUAGGGAGCAAGCGUUAUCCGGAUUUACUGGGUGUAAAGGGUGCGUAGGCGGCUUGGUAAGUCAGAUGUGAAAUGUAUGGGCUCAACCCAUGCACUGCAUUUGAAACUAUUGAGCUUGAGUGGAGUAGAGGUAGGCGGAAUUCCCUGUGUAGCGGUGAAAUGCGUAGAGAUAGGGAGGAACACCAGUGGCGAAGGCGGCCU
rnacentral:rRNA from 1 species